CAAAGGUGGUGAAUCUAGAAAUCCCACCCAAAAUAACAAUUGAAGUACCCUCUCCAACGAACUUGGAAGAACCAUCUGAAGGUGAUGUGGAAGUAAAACUCCAAAACAUGGAGGACAUCUCUAAAGUUAAAGUGGAAAUUUCUCCAGAGGCAGAUGUCAAAGUAUCUAUUGAUGAGAACAUAGCAAGAUACCCUAAACCAAAUGUUGAAGAACUCCCCUCAGUGAGUAUGGAUGCCUCUUCAAGUAUUGAACCAUCCUCCACGGUGAGUGAGGACUCAUUCCCCUCCCCGAGUACAGCAUCAUCCUCCUUUGUGAGUGUGGAAAUAUCUCCUGUUGUCAGCUUGGAUGCCUCACCUGAAACAAGCAUAGAUGCCUCACCUGAAUCAAGUAUGGACUCAGGGAGUAUGGAAGUGGCCUUAGGAAACAAUCUAGAAGCACCUCUUCAGGCCAGUGAGGAAUCAUACUUUGAUGAGAGUGUGCAAGAACAACCUCAGAACCCAGAAAUGGACAAAAGGAACGUAAACCUAAACCUUACCACCAAGAAACAAGCACCAUGCCACAUACCAUGUUACCGAUGGCCAUCAUCUCCUGCCCUUGGGUGGCGCCCACCUUCUCCCUUAAAGGCUCUGCAGAGUCGAAAGAUACGACCUCCGUCUCCCCUACCAGUCUCAUCAAGAUUAUCAACGAAGACUUCUUUGUCAUAUAGAAUAACCCCAGUUCAGAAUAUCCUAUAUGUGCCAAAUGCAUUAGGUAUAAUAGCAGC
rnacentral:lncRNA from 1 species